ensembl:miRNA
GGCAGCCGGCUCUGUCCCUGAGACCCUUAACCUGUGAGGGCAGCGCAGAGUUCACAGGUGAGGUUCUUGGGAGCUGAGCG